rnacentral:sRNA from 1 species
AGGAGGUGUCCUGUUUUGGGGCUCCCCCAGGCCCCCUGCUCCCCGGGCUGGGGGAUCUGUGAGGCUCCUGUGUCCGUUCG